AGGCCUGGUGUGGAAAAGGAGAGGAAAGGAAACCCUCGUGGUUGCAAAGGUGGGGGCGUCUUUAGUGAUUCUCCUGGGGAGGUCAUUCCAGUGGCUGCAAGAGGGGACCCAGCCACGGGAAAAGGUUUUGGAGAAAAACUAGUCUCACAAAAUGGUGGUGGCUUUGUCAGAAAGAAGAAUGGCAAGAGGGAGAAGAGAGAGAAAAAGAACAACGGCACAUAAGAAGUACAGAAGCGGCAGCAGCAGCGGGAAAAAACUUCAAGACGAACAUCUAUCAAGUGAGUCGGGUCUCCUGUUAAGCACUUUAUGGUCAUUUGACCCUCAGCAACCCCGACAGAAGACACGGUCAUCCGUCUGGUUUUACCGAAAGCCAACAAUAGUCCUUCAGGGCGACAGCGCUCCUCCCACCAACCGGACACCUCCUCGCUGGUGAGUGUUGGGGGCUGAACUCAGUCACCGAGGAAGUGACGGGACCAAACCCGCCCCUCUCCACACCCCAGGCCUAGGAGACCCCUGUGGAAAGCAUCAGGUGAAUGGAAACCCGCGGGAUUACUGGGUGCUUGACUGCACCCGCUCCCCUCCCACUAGGGAAACCUGAGCGGGUGAGGGAGACUGACCCUGUGCUGCUGGUGCUGGUGCUGCUCCAGGUGGGAGGAGGGGGGCAGAUCAAUGGGGCAGCUAUUUAAAGACCUGGCCUAGGCUACCAGCUCAGGUCCUCAGAGAAGCAUCUGAUGCAACAGGAGACAAGCAUUUUCUCUGCCAGGCUGCCCUGCAGUCUCGAGUAACUCCCACAGGGCAAUUACACAGCGGCCCCACCCCUUCCCCUUCUGCUGGGCAGGGGCCGCUUCCCAGGGCCUGGGCCUCAGGCUGAGCUAGGGAGGGUCAGGCACUGCUUCCGCCUGCUCCUGGCUCCUGGAGAGCAGGACUCUUCCUGGUGCUUCCAACGCCCUGACUGUUCCAGAAGUGGGGACAUUAACCCGGGACUUUUUCAGUGAGCAGGGACCUGAGGGAGGGGCCUGCCUGGGCAGGGAGGACACUCGGAAGCCGCUGUCCUCCCCUACCAGAACUGCUAGAAAGUGGCACCAGGGCUCCUCUAGGAGAGUGGCAGAGGGUCCGGGAGCACCUCUAAGGUAAAGAGACUUUUGGAGCUGCUUUGUUCUGAGCUCCAGGCCUGUGGAGGCCUCUGCUGACCGCCUCCCAAGGACCUCUGGAAACAAUGUGGCCAGCACA